UACGUAGGGGGCAAGCGUUGUCCGGAAUCAUUGGGCGUAAAGAGCGUGUAGGCGGCCCGAUAAGUCCGCCGUGAAACGUCCAGGGCUCAACCCUGGAAUGCCGGUGGAAACUGUCGGGCUGGAGUCCGGAAGAGGCGGAGUGGAAUUCCUGGUGUAGCGGUGAAAUGCGCAGAUAUCAGGAGGAACACCAAUGGCGAAGGCAGCUCGCUGGGACGGUACUGACGCUGAGACGCGAAAGCGUGGGGAGCAAACAGG
rnacentral:rRNA from 1 species